UACGGGGGGGGCAAGCGUUGUUCGGAAUUACUGGGCGUCAAGGGCGCGUAGGCGGCGCAACAAGUCACUUGUGAAAUCUCCGGGCUUAACCCGGAGCGGUCAAGUGAUACUGUCGUGCUAGAGUGCGGAAGGGGCUACUGGAAUUCUCGGUGUAGCGGUGAAAUGCGUAGAUAUCGAGAGGAACACCUGCGGCGAAGGCGGGUAGCUGGGCCGACACUGACGCUGAUGCGCGAAAGCCAGGGGAGCGAACGGG
rnacentral:rRNA from 1 species